GAUGAAGAACGCAGCGAAAUGCGAUAAGUAGUGUGAAUUGCAGAAUUCAGUGAAUCAUCGAAUCUUUGAACGCACAUUGCGCCCUUUGGUAUUCCUUAGGGCAUGCCUGUUCGAGCGUCAUUUAAACCUUCAAGCUCAGCUUGGUGUUGGGUGACUGUCCGCUUCACCGCGGACUCGCCUCAAAAUUAUUGGCGGCCGGUACAUUGGCUCUCGAGCGCAGCAGAAACGCGUAACUCGAGGUCCUCGUGCUGGCUCCCAGAAGCUAUCUUCACAAUUUUGACCUCGGAUCAGGUAGGGAUACCCGCUGAACUUAAGCAUAUCAAUAAGCGGACGA
rnacentral:misc_RNA from 1 species